rnacentral:sRNA from 1 species
UCAAUGAUACUCAACCACGAUGGAUUGUUUAGCGAAGACAGACUGACAUAUUUGACUCUGCAAAGCCUGGGAAACUCUUCUUUAUCAUUAUGUCUCCCUUUUCCUCACUGGGUGCAGGUUAAGGUGCACAGAUUUGAUUCUCACGCACCUGAUUGUACCCAACUCUUUGGUCAUUCCCUCUAAAGAAAUCUGGCAGACAAUGAUAUCUUUGGUUUGAACAACUUCAACGAUUUUUCAUGUGAACUUCUAUUCUUCCUUCAGAGACUGGGCAGGGGUGUUCCUCCUGGCAGCACUUGCCUCCUGAGUGUCUUCCAGGCCAUCGCUAUUUCCCCAGGAACUCCAGUAGGGCAGAGCUUAGAAUAAUAGUUCCCAAGCUCAUUGGACACUUGAUUCUCUCGUGCUGGAUCCUAAACACACUAAUAAAUAAUUUUCCUCUUUAUGUGUCUGGCUAUAACUCAAUGUAGCCAUCACAAGGAAAACAGAUAAUGGCUACUGUUAUGCCAUGAUUCAUGUCAAAAUUGCCCACUCACUGUGUGCAGUGCUGUUCUGAUUCCUUGAUGUUUUGGAUUUGGGAAUCACGGCUUGGGCCAGAGGCUCCGUGGUUUUCAUCCUGUGCCAGCACAAGCUGCAGGUCCAACACAUUCAUGGGACCCACUGGCUGUUCAGGUUCUCCCCUGAGUCCAGAGUCACCUAAGCCAUCCUGGUCCUGGGGAGCAUCUAUGUAUGCUUUUACAUUCUCUUUUCCUUUUGUCAAUUUUUAGCUCUUUUUAAUCCUCUUGGGCAGUGGCUGGUGAACAUUUCUGCCCUGAGUGCUGUGUGUUCCCCAGCUCUCAGCAUUUUUGUUUCCAUCAACUGUGACUCUGGUGUCUCCAGGUUCUGAUUUGCCUGACACAGAAUACAAAAUCCGCUA